GAUGAACGCUGGCGGCGUGCCUAAUACAUGCAAGUCGAGCGAACAGAUGAGGAGCUUGCUCCUCUGACGUUAGCGGCGGACGGGUGAGUAACACGUGGAUAACCUACCUAUAAGACUGGGAUAACUUCGGGAAACCGGAGCUAAUACCGGAUAAUAUAUUGAACCGCAUGGUUCAAUAGUGAAAGACGGUUUUGCUGUCACUUAUAGAUGGAUCCGCGCCGCAUUAGCUAGUUGGUAAGGUAACGGCUUACCAAGGCAACGAUGCGUAGCCGACCUGAGAGUGCGAUCGGCAACAGUGGCACUGAGACCCGCACCAGACACCUACGGGCGGCAACACUAGGCGAUAGUCCUAAAUGGUCUCAAACCUGAAAAAUCAAUACUGCGUGAAUAAAAAAUGUCUACGUAUCGUAAAACUCUUUAACUAUAGAAAACCAAAUGCCUACGUCACUAUACACGUCAUGACCCUACCUAAUAGGACGGCAACGGCUAACUCUAUG
rnacentral:rRNA from 1 species